CGAAGAAACUCAAAUAAGAGUCAUCAGUGAGAGCCAUCAUUUCAUAAGAAACCGCGGUGUAUGAGUUGGGGCAUGUAACGUUGGUAGCAUAAUCGCAACCAGAGCUAGAGCAGUUGAAACGUCCAAUUUCGGCAAUGCGGUUUGGACGGUUGGAGUAAACAGUAGAAUCGUUGGCGACGGAGGAGAGGUUGAAAAGAAUGAAUUGACCAACACCAUUGCUGCCUUCAACAGUGAUUGGGAAACCGCUAGUAUCGAGAUGUAGGUUGAGUUCGCAACUGCCGGAAACUUGAGGAACAUCAAAUGUGAAAAUCGUGUUGGUAUGAUUGUUUUGCUUCUGAAAGACGACUGGAGAGUAAACAUUACCGGAGUUGGAACUGGGGUUAGCAGAAUCGAUCAAACGAAUUCCAUGUGGGAAAAGAGGGUAAACAGCUGAGGAAGCUGCUGCGGAUGCAGCUUUUGCCGUGGCAGUAGCCGAUGCUGUAACAGGAACAACAACACAUUUGGUGGUGUAAGCAAUUGCCCCACUAGAAGUGCUUGCUUUAGCAGACGAUGAAACGCGAGUUGAAGUUGAAGUAGCAGCUGAACUAGAAGAAGAAGAAGAAGAGGAUGGAGACACGAAGGCCUCAAUAGCAAUACCUGCACAAUUGGGGUUACCAUUUCCGGCUCCGAAGUAUACUUGGUAGACCUGAUCAUUAUCACUAGCAGGACAAGCUACCGCAGAUUGGGUUCCAUUAUAUAGAAGAUUGUAUCCAACAUUAGUAGCAUCACCAGCACUGAACUUAGUGGAAGCUGCAUUAGCAUCAGAUUUGAAAAUAGUGGUGCCAUUGCUGUCAACCGAAGCGUAAAGAUUUCCGACAACCAGUCUUCCGUUACUCAUAGAAAAGACAGCACUAGUACUGGUACCAUCAGUAGGAUCCAGGUAAAUAGCGCCAGAGUCUCCUACAUAGAAAGGGUGCAAGUGGACAUAACUGUUGCCAGAAUGAAUAGACAUUAGGCCAAAUUGCUUGUUGUUCAAAGGGUCAUCACGCUUAUGCAACGGUGAAGCUAAUGUGCCCGAGGCAGCGAGCAAAGAGAGCAAUGUGGAAGCAAUGGGGAUUGAAGUAAGCUUCAUAACGUAAGUUAAACAAAAAUGCAAGAAAGUCAAAGCAAAUGAAUGUUUUUUUUUUUAAUUGAAACUUUUAAUAAUAACUAAAAAAUUGGAGGAAUUUCUAGAUAUUGCAAUAAGAUUGAUCAAACUGAAGAAGAUUA
rnacentral:lncRNA from 1 species